UACGUAGGGUGCAAGCGUUGUCCGGAAUUAUUGGGCGUAAAGAGCUCGUAGGCGGUUUGUCGCGUCUGCUGUGAAAAUCCAGGGCUUAACCCUGGACCUGCAGUGGGUACGGGCAGACUGGAGUGCGGUAGGGGAGAUCGGAAUUCCUGGUGUAGCGGUGAAAUGCGUAGAUAUCUGGAGGAACACCGGUGGCGAAGGCGGGUCUCUGGGCAGUAACUGACGCUGAGGAGCGAAAGCGUGGGGAGCGAACAGG
rnacentral:rRNA from 1 species